CCCUAAUUCUGAUUUAUUCCAUUUCUUACCCUCUUGGAAAUUAAGGUAGGUCCAUGGAAUUAGAUUGUAUUGCUGAGAUCCUCAAGAAAAUUGGAUCUAUCAGUUCAAUCAUUUGACCACAAGAGGGCACUGCUGACAUCUACUGUCCAAAUUUAUUCAGUGAGUAAUUUUGAACAUCAAUUCUGCCUUCUAUCCUGGGUCUUGUUUUUCUUACAAACGUAAAGACUCUCUAAGGGGGAAGAGUGAUUGGAGCUCUUGUAUGAAAGCAGAACCUCCAGAAGUUUAGAGAAUAAGCUCCAAGACUUCAAAUGGGACCAUGCAACUGCAGUUAGAGGCAGGGAACAGCCAUCUGCUGUGUGUAUCCCAGAGAUAGCUUGGGAAAGAAGUGUUAAGACCAAAGACUGAAGUCUACACACUGGACCACCCAACCUACCAUGAGCUCUUCUGUCAUCUCAGGGAUUGGGAUCUUGCUACUAUUAGGUGAGGCAAAGAGCUUGCAGAGUUUGUAUUUUUUCUCUUAAUGUUUUGUUUCCUCUCCUGCAUUCAUGUGUGGUGUAACAAAGCAAAACUCUUAGGAGAGAUGAAUGGAAAACUCAGUAACCAAGAAGGGGGACUUUGCUAGUCUCUCUGAAGGCUUCUAUCCUGUCCCUUCAAAGGGAACAUGCCAAUAAAGGAUCUUGGACACCAACCUGACUUUUUAUUUCCUCUUCUAGGUUUCGCUGGGAGUAAUUCUCUGUUUCAGUUUCCAUCUGAGUCUAUUUCCAGAAAUGUUUUCAGCUUCUAUCCUGUUCCCUACUCUCAUCAUCAAGAGGACCAAACUUUGUGAAGGAGCUCACUAUCCCUGCCACCAACUGUCAACCAAAUGCUGAGGAUGGGCAGGUAAGUCCCAAAUCCCAGGACUCUGUUUCCAGCCUGCCUUCAUAGUCCAUCAUCCAGGAAAGCAAGACUUGUAUAGAUGGAAUCUGCUAACCACACCAUUAGGUGAUAUAGGCCCUACUUACUCAGUAGCCACAGCUAUUGAAAGACUCAGAAAAGAAAGUCAAUGCUACCAAAGUCUUUGGCACAGACAAAUAGUUCAAUAUCAGA
rnacentral:lncRNA from 1 species